AGAGUUUGAUCCUGGCUCAGGAUGAACGCUGGCGGCGUGCUUAACACAUGCAAAGUCGAGCGAAGCACUUUUAAAGGAAGUUUUCGGAUGGAAUUUAAAGUGACUGAGCGGCGGACGGGUGAGUAACGCGUGGGUAACCUGCCUCAUACAGGGGGAUAACAGUUGGAAACGACUGCUAAUACCGCAUAAGCGCACAGUGCUGCAUAGCACAGUGUGAAAAACUCCGGUGGUAUGAGAUGGACCCGCGUCUGAUUUAGGUAGUUGGUGGGGUAACGGCCCACCAAGCCGACGAUCAGUAGCCGACCUGAGAGGGUGACCGGCCACAUUGGGACUGAGACACGGCCCAAACUCCUACGGGAGGCAGCAGUGGGGAAUAUUGGACAAUGGGGGAAACCCUGAUCCAAGCGACGCCGCGUGAGUGAAGAAGUGUUUCGGCAUGUAAAGCUCUAUCAGCAGGGAAGAAAAUCGACGGUACCUGACUAAGAAGCCCCGGCUAACUACGUGCCAGCCGCCGC
rnacentral:rRNA from 1 species